UUUGUAUUUCAAAAAAAAAAGAUAAAGAUAUUAAAAAAUAUAAUAAUGAACUUAUGUUAAAUAUGAUAUUUUUUAGGAAUGGUCUAAACUAAAAAAAAUCACACAUGAAAAAAAGUCAUGACUUCUGUUUUAAUAUAUAAGAUAGAUAGUAAUCUACACUUAGGGUUUAGAUUUGAAGGGCGAAAUUUUAGAAUGUGUGGUUUAGGAUUUAAAUAAAUAUAUAAAUAAAUACAUAUUUAAAAAAUAAAAAUUCAAAAAAAAAUUUAGAAUUUCAAAAAAAAAAAUUUGAAAAACAAAUAUGAGAAAUUGCCUAAACCACAUUUCAUGUUUACCUUAACCACAUUUAUCCUCACAUUUAAUGAGAUAAAUAGACAUUUAUAACCCUAAAGUUAAUUAAUCUACAUUUAGAGUUUAUAGUUGAGGGGUGGAGUUUUGGAAUGUGUGGUUUUGGAUUUUAAUAAAUAUAUAAACAAAUACCUAAAAACUAUAUGAACUAUACGAAUCACAUGACAAUAUCUAUGAACUAAUAUGUGUUAUGUUGGUAACACUAUUAUAGUUUCAAUAACCAUAAAAAUGUAUUAAACUUGUGACCUGACAAUUCCCAUAAUGCUUAACAUAUUUCAAUGUGUUUUCUCAUGCUCUUUAAUAUACAAUAUUGCAUUUUGAAUGUAUAUGUGACUGCAAAAACACUCGG
rnacentral:lncRNA from 1 species